rnacentral:tRNA from 1 species
GCAACGAUGGCCGAGCGGUUAAGGCGUUUGACUCGAAAUCAAAUGGGGUUUCCCCGCGCAGGUUCGAAUCCUGCUCGUUGCG